rnacentral:rRNA from 1 species
UGAUGAAGGCUUUCGGGUCGUAAAACUCUGUCCUAAGGGAAGAAAGAAAUGACGGUACCUUAGGAGGAAGCCCCGGCUAACUACGUGCCAGCAGCCGCGGUAAUACGUAGGGGGCAAGCGUUAUCCGGAAUUAUUGGGCGUAAAGAGUGCGUAGGUGGUUCUACAAGCCUUGGGUGAAAGGCUACGGCUCAACCGUAGUAAGCCUUGGGAACUGUAGGACUUGAGUGCAGGAGAGGAGAGCGGAAUUCCUAGUGUAGCGGUGAAAUGCGUAGAUAUUAGGAGGAACACCAGUGGCGAAGGCGGCUCUCUGGACUGUAACUGACGCUGAGGCACGAAAGCGUGGGGAGCGAACAGGAUUAGAUACCCUGGUAGUCCACGCCGUAAACGAUGAGUACUAGGUGUCGGGGUCGCGAGGCUUCGGUGCCGUAGCUAACGCAUUAAGUACUCCGC